rnacentral:rRNA from 1 species
AUGGUGGUGAUUUCUGACGGCCUUAACAUGACAGGCCCUGCUGAUUCUGGCUCCACAGCGGAGUUGCAGCUCGAGUCCAUGGAGUUGGACAUCAAGACGCUGCAGCGUGACCGAGAAGAAGAUCGCAAAGACUUUCAGCAAUUCCAAGCGACUGUGAACAGAAAUUUCGCCAGGAUGCAGAAAAAUUUUGAAAAGAUCCAAGACAACUUCAGGCGCUUGCUGUUAGAUCCGGAGCCAGCUACUGGAGAAGAAAGAGAGGAGGGUCAGGGAAGUGUCCAAAUCAAGGACAAUAACAACCAAUCGCCUCAAAUAGCUCCUGGACGACCCAAGCAACUCCAAGCUCCAACCCCUCCAUCAGUAGCAAUGCCAGAGAAAGCACCUCCUGCGCCAGUGGGAAAUGCAACACUGCGAGAUCACACUGGGAAAGAACUCAAUUUGGAUGGGACCCUGAAAGUGCCUUACAGACAUCCAAAUUUUGGUCAGGGUAAGGAAGCAGCACCAAACAUUGUAAUCCAAAUGGAAGAAAGGCAAGAGGAGGAGGUUAUGGAUCAGCAGUACAGAAGAGGGCCCAAUUUCCCUGUUGAGGCACGAAGAAAUGUGUUGACAGUAAAGCCAGCUAAGUUAAACAUCUCUGAAUUUGAAGGUCAGGACCCAGAGUCUUGGAUUCAGAAUUUGGAGCAGUAUUUUGCUGCAGCCAGAACUCCUAUUGAGCACAGAACUGAGCUGGCAGUUUCUUACCUUAAAGGGCCUGCUGUACAAUGGUGGAGAGGAACAGGAUUUGCUCCUAGCAAUGUUCCAUGGCACAAGUUUUGCUCUUACAUCUCUGACAGAUUUUCUGUGGAUUCUGUCUGUGACAUUGUCAGCUCCUUCCAUGCAGCUCGGCAAACUACCACAAUUACUGCAUAUGUGGAGCAGUUUGAGCAGCUAAUGAACAUAAUGAGAAGAGAAAACCCUGGAAUCCUUGAUGAUUAUUAUGUUUCUAGCUUUGUGGCAGGGCUUAACCCAUAUAUUAAAAGCCAUGUGGAGUGCUUCAGGCCUAAGGAUAUGCAGACUGCAGUAUGGUAUGCUAGGAGGAUGGAGAAAGCCCAGGUUCCAGCUACUGUAGUGCAAACUAAACCUUAUGUCCCUCAACCUAGAAGGCAAGUAGUAUUUGAUCAGCCCAAAAACCCUGUUAAUACUGCCACACCAAACAGAAACACUAUUAUCCAGCAGGCAAAACAAAACCAAGUGUGUUAUAAGUGCAGAGAGCCUUGGGUGCCUGGUCAUAGACAGGUCUAUAAAAUGAGCCAGAGAGCUCAGAUCCAAGCACUGCAAGUUGAUGAAGUUGACAAUCCUGAAACAAUCUAUGUUACAGAUUUUGAUGACCCUGAUUUGGAAACACUGGAACAACCACCUGGUGAAGCAGUAUUGAAAGUGUCAAUGCAUGCUGCUAUGGGAAUAGGAGCAACUAAGAACACAUAA